rnacentral:rRNA from 1 species
GAUGAACGCUGGCGGCGUGCUUAACACAUGCAAGUCGAACGGAAAGGCCCAAGCUUGCUUGGGUACUCGAGUGGCGAACGGGUGAGUAACACGUGGGUGAUCUGCCCUGCACUUCGGGAUAAGCCUGGGAAACUGGGUCUAAUACCGGAUAGGACCACAUUUUGGAUGGUGUGGUGGAAAGUUUUUCGGUGUGGGAUGAGCUCGCGGCCUAUCAGCUUGUUGGUGGGGUAAUGGCCUACCAAGGCGUCGACGGGUAGCCGGCCUGAGAGGGUGUACGGCCACAUUGGGACUGAGAUACGGCCCAGACUCCUACGGGAGGCAGCAGUGGGGAAUAUUGCACAAUGGGCGCAAGCCUGAUGCAGCGACGCCGCGGGGGGGAGGACGGCCUUCGGGUUGUAAACUCCUUUCGCUAGGGACGAAGCGUUAUGUGACGGUACCUGGAGAAGAAGCACCGGCUAACUACGUG